UCCUCAGAGCAUGGCAGACGUAACCGAUCCUCCCAGCACAGAGCUGCAGUUUGCCCCACGAAGAGAGGCUGCAGAGCCUCUGCUCCCAUCCCCACGUCAGGGUUAGAGUAUUUUGGGGUGGAGAAGCGGGUGGGAUUAAACAUUUAACUGCAUGUUUAAGUGCGUGCUGCAAUUUCUGUAUUCAAUAGAAGCGGUAUGGAAGGACUCUGCAGGAUGCAAAACCUCUGCGUGCUGCUCCUGGCUUUGCAGCACCCACGGUAUUCUGGUGAGGCAGAGUUUUAAAAUGUUGGAGCCCAUAGAUGGAAAUACUCCAAGAACAUGCAGUCCAGGUAUACGAGGAUAUUUGUCAAUUCCUUCCCAUUAGAAACCUAACAAAUUCAGAGUCAAAGAUGAAAAGUGAAAAACCCGUGAAGAUCAGACGAAGGGAUGGAAAUUAUCAUUCAGGUCAAUACAUGUGAGUUCAAGCAAGUAUUUUGCACAAGAUGUACAAGUAAGCUUUUUAGAUUGUCUUUCUAAUCUGCCUUCAGUGCAUCAAAUAACUGUCGUGGAUAACUCCGUCCCUCCUGCCCCAUGCAGCAUGUUUCAGGGCUCACAGCAGAAAGGUGCCACAGCUGAGGUUGUAUCUUUAAGGGAAAAGCAAAAUUUGUGUUCUAUACUCUUGGAUUCCUAAAACAAUUUAGUUUUUAUAAUUAUUAGCAUUCUCAUUAAAAGCUGUUUAGCUAAGAAUCAAGACACAGAGACACAGUGACUUCAUCAAAGCAACGCAAAUCCAGAUAAAGCUAGGUUUCUAAUUCGACUUCUGUGCUUUGAAAUAAAUCCUCAGAGCAUCAAUUACUGUAUCUGUUGUAAAGCAAUUAUGGGCAGCCUCCAUUGCUCGCUUUUAGAUAUAUUAAUUUAAUUAUUAUUUUCCCUUUAAAAUAUGGGUAAGAAUUUUACAGUUCCUCACGAACAACAACAAAAAGCAGACAACAAAAAAUACCCAUAAAAGCAGAAAUUGCUUUCUUUCGUAAUCAGGUUGAUUAGACUCAUGUAUAAUCAUACGCAGCAGGUGGGAAGAUUAACAUUUCACUAAUUCCUAGUGGUCAUUACAGCAAGGAAAUUUAAUCUGCAGAGUUCACAAGGAUUGCAGUUGCAUGCUGGUAAGGCUCAUUUAAGAGCCAGAGCAAAAACAACACAACUUUAUAUUCCGGAAUCCAGUUUCACUCAAAACUAUUUUGGCCUGGAGGCAACACACAUACAAACAGCAUCUUCUGUUCAAUUGAAAAAUAGAUUUUUAUUGAUCAUGGCCACUUAACAAAUACAGUCAAAAUCUAUGCCUGUUCUCAGUUAUUUUUGGGGGAAUGCAGUCUGACCCUCAGCGAGUUAAGCGCAUUAAUAAGAUAGAUAUUUUUGCAGCAAUUGUAUUUUUUUCUG